AACCAUAGUGAGGUUUUCAGGUGGCAUUCAUUAACUUGAGCAAUUGCAUUUCUUUGGAAAUGGACGUUACUUAGGUAGCUUUUAGACACAAAUACUGGCAAACUAAGAUAUUACCUGCAUUUCCCUUAUGAUGCUAAGAAAUCUUGUUUAGAAAUACAUGCAUGAUUGUGUGUUUUCUCUCAGCUAGGAUGAUGGCUCUGUUCAAGGAUGAUUGGAGGAGAGAACAGUUCCAGAAUGAAGGACUUCAGGAAAAAUAUGGUAAAGCCUCUUUUAUAUCCCCUCACCACCCAAACAUUGUAGAACACCUGCGUUCGUGGUGUUGUAAAGAUAUCCCAGCUUUUAGCCAACGUGUCACCACUGGCUUGCCCUCUCCCAGAUCUCUGCUAUUCUGGCACAAUUUUGCAGUUAGGGACUCUCCCAUAUUCCUCCCUUCUCUGCUCUUGCAAAGCCUGUAUGUUCCAAUAUAGUCUGUGGGUCAAGUGUAAACUCGAGGGGCAUCCCUGCACUGACUCUGAGCACAUGACCCAAGUGUCCCCAGGUAUUCGUAGACUUCCCAUUGUUUUACCUAGGAAUUUUUUAUUUAGAACCAAUGAGAGUAAUUUUCAUUCUUUCCUUUUUACUUCAUUGACACAGCUGUCAAUUUUGCAAACUCCAACUACUUCAAAUAUUUGUAGAAGGAUUUCAUAGCUUAAGGAAAGAUCAAUAAUAAUAAUCAUAAUACAUUUCUGAUUUCUAAGUUUUCAUGCGAAUGACACAAGGAACUACUGUCCUACAAUGUUCCCAGAAGGCUUUUCAUAAAACGCAAACGUAGUCUUUAGAAGUUUAAUAUCCUGUUUUCUAAUGACAUUUUUGUCAGUGCACUUUAGUUUUCAGAGGGAAUCAAAUUCACCUCUCAAUGCAUGUAGCUGGCUUCAUGUAGCCCCUGCCACAGGCCUUGCUUGCAACCAAUGGAAGUUUUCUCCUCUCUGCUUCCUCCUCUCUUUUCAAGUAACUCUGCCUUGUGCGAGUGUGUAUCUCCAUGUUAGACUCAAAAGGGGACCGAAAUAAGACGAGCUUUAUUUUGCCAUGAGUGAAAAUAGAAAUUCGCCCCCCAAAAGUUAUGUAAUCAUUGCAGAGUGAAAUGUGAACACAGACAGGUUCCCAAGAGCCAAACCCUGCAUCUUCUCUAGCCGCAGGUGUUGAGUAUCCUCUAAUCCAUUGUUCAUGGAUACCUUAUGAAACAAAGUUAGGACAAGGAAGAGAAGUGGUGAUUUGUAUUUGGCAGUGACAAAGAAUGCCUUAAAGGUAUCCAACCAAAGAGUAAGGGCCCGAGCGUUGUCCAGAUAAUUUAAGAGCUUUGUACAAAGGUAACCACCAUCACUAAUGAUCCUGAAAUUUUUCCACCAGUCAGUGACCUCAUUUUUUUCGGCUUUAACUUUGGACCAGAAAUCUCAGGACAAAAGCAGCUCUCAGGCACGCUGCUACAUAGGUGUGUGCCUGUGUAUGUGUGCGGGUUUGUCUAAAUCCCGAUGCAUUUAACGUUGUAGGAGAACUUGUCUCUAAAUUUCAAUUUCCCUGUGGUUUGAAUCCAUUAUAAUUACCUGGGUGUUUCCUUUUUAUUUUUUCAGAUGAUCUUCAAAAGAAAGUCGAAGAACUUCAGGAAAAAAUUGAUCAAGUCCAGAAAGAAAUGGGUAAAUCUUUUUGACAUUUUUUAACAGAUGUAUUUCUUUAAAACAUCUUUUCCCACCAUUUCUCAACAUUCCCUCCUCCCUGCUCCUGUCCGCCCUUUAGCUUCUUGUGGGUUCCACGUUACCCUAUCUUCUCUUUGACGUCCUGAGGUCCUCCCACAUCACGUUCCCUUCUCACCAUCUCUCUGGCUGUUAUUCCUUCCAGUCUCUUCCUUGCUAUACACCCAGGUGGUGUUCUACCUCCCUGGUGAUUACCCUAAUUUCAUGAUAAGGUUGGUGAGAUGAAGGCGAUUCGCUUAAGGUGAGUGUGGUCAUUGCCAUUCGAGAGAAGGCUUCCUUUCCCUUGGGUUCUCCAAGUGCUCUGAGGUGGAGUGCCUCUUGCUUUACAGAUGAUCGUGUUCUGGCUUUUAGGGGAAGCAUUCAGACUCCAAAGCUGUUGCAUGAGAUGAGUUCCUUCUUUGUUGACUGUGUAAACACUGUCUGUAUACACUGAUGUCAAGUGUGCUCUUGAAACGAGCCAGUCCGCUUUGCUUGACCCUAUUCCCAAGGGAUAUUGGUAAUAGUUUUGCAUGACAAUGUGGGAUUUUUCCUUUUAAACAACAAUGAUUACUCUCCUUUCUUUUAUAUUUUAAUUCAUUUAAUAAUUACUCCAACACAUUUCUCUUCCUUCAGGGUCUUACACAUACACUUUUCCGUCAAUCAAAUAAACGUGACUGACAAUAUAUUUCCGGCGUCAGUGGCUGUUUUCUAAGAUAACCCUACAUCAUUUCUGAGAGCCUAGUGCAAGAAUUACAAAAUCCUCAUGUCCCGACGUAUCACGUUACAACCCUGAAACCAUAGUGAGGUUUUCAGGUGGCAUUCAUUAACUUGAGCAAUUGCAUUUCUUUGGAAAUGGACGUUGCUUAGGUAGCUUUUAGACACAAAUACUGGCAUACUAAGAUAUUACCUGCACUUCCCUUAUGAUGCUAAGAAAUCUUGUUUAGAAAUACAUGCAUGAUUGUGUGUUUUCUCUCAGCUAGGAUGAUGGCUCAGUUCAAGGAUGGUGAGUAAUGCUUAUCUCUCAGAAGUUGUCAUUCUUUUCUCUCUCUGAGAUUCUGCCCCCCACAAGCAAAGGGAUGCAGAAAUAUAGCAAAUAUGUUUAUAGUAGGCAAAGCAGCAUUGGAACCAUUGCCUCUGUAGAGUCCAGCACUUGGAAUAAAUUCCCUCUGAAGUGCAAACAAACCACUAGCAAUUCAGCGUGGGUUUCCUCCUCCCCUCCUACCCUCUUUCCAUCCUCCCUCCCUUUCUUCCUUUUACAUGCCCCCCUUCCCACUCCUCCUCCACACCCCCAACCUUUGAGGUUUCUACAUUUCUGUCCUCCACCUGAUCGUUUUUCGCAUCAUGUGUGGAACAAAUUGAAUAUGAAGCUAC
rnacentral:lncRNA from 1 species